GCGGGGUUGAAGGUGUGUGAGCUCUCCCAUUCACUCCCGUCUUAUAGAACAAACGUCAGUCGAGGAAACAAGCGUCCCCUUCUUGAUGAAGUGGAAGAUGAUGCCCUGGAAGGUGAAAUCUCACCUAGAGGUGUGAGGUUUUAACUGUAACCCUGUUCCUGUAGUAGAGCUACUCUCCUGUAGGUUUUAACUGUAACCCUGUUCCUGUAGUAGAGCUACUCUCCUGUAGGUUUUAACUGUAACACUGUCCCUGUACUACUCUCCUGUAGGUUUUAACUCCAACCCUGUUCCUGUAGUAGAGCUACUCUCCUGUAGGUUUUAACUCCAACCCUGUUCCUGUAGUUGAGCUACUCUCCUGUAGGUUUUAACUCCAACCCUGUUCCUGUAGUUGAGCUACUCUCCUGUAGGUUUUAACUUCAACA
ensembl:lncRNA